UAUGCGUGCACUAUCGCACCAGGGACACAGUCCCCAUUUUUGUUUCCAUGAACACCUAACCAGAAACAAACCAUACAGAAAAUUUCCCUAAAAGGCUAAAAUCCCUUUUACACCCAGAAAAUUUCCCUCUCUCGCUCAGAUUUCUCUCUUCUUUCUCGAAUCACAGAUUUCUCUCUUAUUUCUCGAAUCACCAUUGCGAAUCUUCAAUAUCGACUGUGGACUAAUUAAAGAAAGAAAAGUUGAAGAAAUUGUUGAAAAUCAAUUAGAUUAAAUCAAAAUUGGGGAAAAAGGUUUCUGUAAUUCUUCCUCUGCAAACUUCACUUUGGCACCAAAGUCACCAUUCUAUAGGUGCAUACAUGGAGUCCAGAAGGUAUAGGGACAGAGGAUACGUGCUCAAGUCUCAAGUGAGAUUCUCUCAGUGAGAGUCCAGUAGCUUGAACCAUUACUAAUGCAACAUAAUUAUUUUCCUCUUCAUUGGAAUGGCAGUAGCAUUGCAUAAUUAUUGUCCGUGGUUUCAGAAAAUCUGUUAUUCAGAUAAGAAGGAAGUAUUUGAAAAGAGAGAAAGGAAAAUCACAUGCUAUUAUUCAUAAGUGGAUUGGACAGCUUUGCACAAGAGUAGUCAGUCAAUUGCGCUUAACUGAAAAGAAUAACAAAGUAUAAAUCCUGGAUGAGUACUGAUAGAACGAAAAAACGCUAUAGAGAAGGAGUCGCGGUGUUUCUGCGGUAUGCUGUCAACCAUUCUUCAUUUUUUACUUGGCAGGAAAUACAAAGAGAGAGUUACAUGGUUCUAUGAGUGAAACCUCCACUAAUGGCGAUUCAAACCCUAACAAGAAUCAAAUUCGUCUUCAAAUACCCGUAUACUAAACUCAUUUCUAUCAGAUUCAAAACAACAUCAGCUGAAUAUGUAGCAUCAAGAGCUAGAGACCCAACUUUUGAUAAACUAAUGAAAAAUUACAAGAACUAUCUAAAAGUUGUUUCUGUUCAAGAUCUUUUACUUGCAGACACUACCAAUAACUCAUCAAUAUCAGUCCAUUUUCUUUCUAAACUCUCUCAAAAACUUCAUCUCAAUCAUGGUGCUUCAUCUUUCCUCCGUAAAUACCCUCAUAUUUUCAACAUCUUUUAUAAUCAUUCAAAGUCUGAGCCUUUCUAUAAAUUAACUGAUAAAGCUCUUCAAAUCUCCCGAGAAGAAGCUGCAGCGAUCGAAGCUUCGAAACCCAUUGUUAUUGAACGAUUAGUUCGGAUCCUAUCAAUGUCAGUAUCUAAAUCUUUACCACUUCGUGCAGUUUUUAAGGUGUGGAGAGAACUUGGAUUACCAGAUGGUUUUGAGGAAUCGAUAAUUUCUCAAAAUCCUAAGCUUUUUUCACUUUCGGAUGCCCCAAAUGAACCCAAUACUCAUAUUAUUAAAUUGGAAUCUAUAAACCCUAAUUUUAUUACUGCAGUUGAGAAUUGGAGAGAAGAUGAGUGCAAUAAGAAGGAUUCUAAGGUUGAUGAAUCCCAAAUUAGAUUUGCUUUCAAACAAGGGUAUCCACCUGGGAUGAAACUUGGUAAAGUAUUUAGAGGAAAAGUAAAGGAAUGGCAGACGUUGUCAUACGUUGGACCUUAUGAUCAGAUGGGAGAGAAAGGGAAACCGAAAGCUGGUGUCAAGGCGUUGGAGAAAAGGGCUGUAGGAAUUGUUCACGAGUUCUUAAGUUUGACAGUCGAAAAGAUGAUAGAGGUGGAGAAGAUUAGUCAUUUUAGAAAAUGGUUUGGUAUUGAUUUGAAUAUUAGGGACUUGUUUUUAGAUCACCCCGGAAUUUUUUAUCUAUCUACUAAAGGUAAAACACACACUGUUUUUCUAAGAGAAGCUUUUGAGAGGGGUUGUUUAAUUGAACCAAAUCCUGUAUACAUUGCGAGAAGAAAGCUUCUUGAUCUUGUUAUUAUGAGUCGACGAGGUUUGUUUUUGACACAGUCGGAUACAAGGAACAUAAGAGCAAGAGAGGAGGUUGAGUUGACCGAAGAUGACGAUGAUUAGCAUUUCCUGUUUGAGAAGUUGGAUAGUGAGAAAGGAUGAGAUAUCUUUGGUUGGAAAGGAAGAGACAAUUGGCUUGCAGGAACAGAACCAACCUUGAUCGUUUACUUGAAGAUAAAUUUGGAUUUGGUGACAUAUUAAACCUUCACAACUACACCAAGUCUCCUCUUUAUGCCUUGGUGUAUUGGUGUUUGAUCACUAGGCAUUACAUUAUGCUAUCUGCUUCAACUUUAUCAUGGUCUGUAAUGAAAGCUGUGUCAGUAUGUUUGAGGAGAAAAACUUCGAGGAUUGAAGUAUAGUUCCAAACAAGUUAGAUAAUUUUGGAGGAAGUCGUUGCUGAACUAUGCCAACUGGAGGUGUUACCCAAAUUGGUAUCUCAUGUUCUUUAUCUCUUAAAUAUAGUGUGUCAUUCAGAAAACGCUAAACAACUUGUAAAUCAAUUACACUUGGUUGUUUUUUUUAUAAUUAUCUUAAAUUUUGGACACUAUUGAACCCUUACUUGGGACCAUAAUUUUAAAAGUGACCAGA